rnacentral:rRNA from 1 species
GACGUUACUACAGAAGAAGCACCGGCUAACUCCGUGCCAGCAGCCGCGGUAAUACGGAGGGUGCGAGCGUUAAUCGGAAUUACUGGGCGUAAAAGCGCAUGCAGGCGGCCUGUUAAGUCAGAUGUGAAAAGCCCGGGCUUAAACCUCGGAAAUUGCAUUUGAAAAACUGGCAGGCUAGAGUCUUGUAGAGGGGGUAGAAUUUCAGGUGUAGCGGUGAAAAUGCGUAGAGAUCUGAAGGAAUACCAGUGGCGAAGGCGGCCCCUGGACAAAGACUGACGCUCAGAUGCGAAAGCGUGGGGAGCAAACAGGAUUAGAUACCCUGGUAG